AUUAGCUUGGCAGAUUAAUUGUGUCAAAUUUAGAAUUUGGAAAUGUUUUAGAUCAGCUAAUA
rnacentral:tRNA from 2 species